AAGAGAGUCGGGAUAACACCUAGGAAACAGAUGCUAAUACCGGAUAACAACAGAUGAUGCCUAUCAACUGUUUAAAAGNUGGUUCUGCUAUCACUCUUGGAUGGACCUGCGGUGCAUUAGCUAGUUGGUAGGGUAACGGCCUACCCAAGGCGAUGAUGCAUAGCCGAGUUGAGAGACUGAUCGGCCACAUUGGGACUGAGACACGGCCCAAACUCCUACGGGAGGCAGCAGAC
rnacentral:rRNA from 1 species